GACGAACGCUGGCGGCGUGCCUAACACAUGCAAGUCGAACGGAAGCAAAGAUUUCGGUUUUUGCUUUAGUGGCGAACGGGUGAGUAACGCGUGAGGAACCUGCCUUUCAGUGGGGGACAACAGUUGGAAACGACUGCUAAUACCGCAUAAUGCUUUUGAGUGGCAUCACUUAAAAGUCAAAGAUUUAUUGCUGAAAGAUGGCCUCGCGUCUGAUUAGCUAGUUGGCGGGGUAACGGCCCACCAAGGCGACGAUCAGUAGCCGGUCUGAGAGGAUGAACGGCCACAUUGGGACUGAGAUACGGCCCAGACUCCUACGGGAGGCAGCAGUGGGGAAUAUUGGGCAAUGGGGGAAACCCUGACCCAGCAACGCCGCGUGAAGGAAGAAGGCCUCGGGUUGUAAACGUUCUUUUACCUA
rnacentral:rRNA from 1 species